GAUGAACGCUGGCGGCGUGCCUAAUACAUGCAAGUCGAGCGAACGAACGAGAAGCUUGCUUCUCUGAUGUUAGCGGCGGACGGGUGAGUAACACGUGGAUAACCUACCUAUAAGACUGGGAUAACUUCGGGAAACCGGAGCUAAUACCGGAUAAUAUUUUGAACCGCAUGGUUCAAAAGUGAAAGACGGUCUUGCUGUCACUUAUAGAUGGAUCCGCGCUGCAUUAGCUAGUUGGUAAGGUAACGGCUUACCAAGGCAACGAUGCAUAGCCGACCUGAGAGGGGGAUCGGCCACACUGGAACUGAGACACGGUCCAGACUCCUACGGGAGGCAGCAGUAGGGAAUCUUCCGCAAUGGGCGAAAGCCUGACGGAGCAACGCCGCGUGAGUGAUGAAGGUCUUCGGAUCGUAAAACUCUGUUAUUAGGGAAGAACAUAUGUGUAAGUAACUGUGCACAUCUUGACGGUACCUAAUCAGAAAGCCACGGCUAACUACGUG
rnacentral:rRNA from 1 species